rnacentral:rRNA from 1 species
GUCUUUGUGAAGAUUUACACAGUCUGACCUGCCCACUGAAUUAUUGAAGGGCCGCGGUAUUUCUGACCGUGCGAAGGUAGCAUAAUCAUUAGUCUUUUAAUUGGAGGCUCGUAUGAAAGGUCGAACGAGUGAUAGACUGUCUCAGCAAAAAAAAAUUGAACUUAACUUUAAAGUGAAAAGGCUUUAAUAUUUCAGAAAGACGAUAAGACCCUAUAAAUCUUCACACCACCUUUUAUACUAAGCCAAUCUGUUUGUAUAAGGAGAAGUAUAAAAAACGUGUUUUGUUGGGGCAACAAAGAUAUAAUUAAAUAACUGUUUUAAUUUUAAAACAAAAAUUUUUGAAAAUAAAUUGAUCCUCUCUAAAGAUUAAAAGAUCAAGUUACUUUAGGGAUAACAGCGUCAUUUUUCUUGAGAGUUCCCAUCGAAAGAAAAGUUUGCGACCUCGAUGUUGAAUUAAAAUUUCUUCAUAAUGCAGCAGUUAUGAAAGAAAGUCUGUUCGACUUUUAAAAUUUUACGUGAUCUGAGUUCA